UACGAAGGGUGCAAGCGUUGCUCGGAAUUAUUGGGCGUAAAGCGCACGUAGGCGGCUCUGUAAGUCGGAUGUGAAAUCCCUCGGCUUAACCAAGGAAGUGCAUCCGAAACUGCAAGGCUUGAGUACUUAAGAGGAUCGCGGAAUUCCCGGUGUAGAGGUGAAAUUCGUAGAUAUCGGGAGGAACACCAGUGGCGAAGGCGGCGAUCUGGGAAGAUACUGACGCUGAGGAGCGAAAGCGUGGGGAGCGAACAGG
rnacentral:rRNA from 1 species